UGUGGGUCCAAUCACUGCUAAAAUUAAAGUCAUAGUUGUGGUGCGGAACCACAAUUUUUCAGUGGAACUUAAUGACAAGAAGUCCCCUCUAUACCGAGAGUUUGAAGAAUUAUUUACGCGUGAGAUUAAAAAGCUGUAUGACAAAAUUACAGGCUUUGCUGAUGUCAAGAUCAUCGCACUCACAAAUGGAAGCAUAGUGGUGGACCAUGAAGUGCUGCUCCAUCUCAAUGCAACAAAUGGAAUCGAGCAAUACAAUACGGCGCUCAGAGAACUUAAUGUUACUCUCAAUGGAAGAAAUGCCACCUCUAAUGCUUCAGAUUCCUUGGACUUGAUUGCAUACAGAACACAAGUCAAACAAAGUGAUGUGGGUGCUGCAG